GGCAGCGCGGCUUAGUGGGAAGAGUCCGUACUGGGAGUCAGAGGACCUGGGUUCUAAUCCCAGCUCUGCCA
rnacentral:tRNA from 1 species